AAAAGGAAAGUACUCUGACCUCUUUGGACACCCGAGAAGCUCUGCUGACAGGAAUACCAGGUUGUUUAGUGGGGAAAAAAGGAACUCCUCCAAAACAGAGGCACCAUUCAUAAACACCCCCUGCGGGACAUUCUAUUUGGUGCUUUGUGAUAUCGUAUCGUAUCAUAAGAUAUGAUCCCGUGCAAUCCUCACAAUACCCUCUGACAUAGGUACUAUCAUCAUACCCAUUUCACAGAUGAGGAAAUUGAGGCUUAGGUUAACAGCUCAAGCACAGACAACUAGCAAGCAGUUGAACCAGGACUAGAGAGAACCCAGCCCUGGCUGACCCCAAAGCCAUGUUCCAGGCAUUCCGGAUCACCACCUCCCAGGGUGGGUUAAUGUCCAUGCAGCAGCCCUAAUCGUUCAGGAAAAUCACCAGAAGGUCUUCAGCUCCCCCUGAGUGGGCCAUCCAUCACAUCCUCGGCUCUUCCCAUUGGCCUGUACUGCCUUUACUAACCUGGAAGGAGUGAGGGGCUGCAGCUGUCCCAGAGAGGCAAGCGUUUAUCUGACGGUCUGCGUAUGUGCAUCACAUUCAAAGCUUAAGGACAGCAUUUUUGUCCAACAUUCUCUUAGCCACCAUGAUAUGCCAAACUACAUCAAAGCCUGAAGCUUUGUGAGCAGCCAGCCCAGGACCGGGACCAGGCUUCCUAGCAGAGUUUUCAUUAUCUAUGACCAA
rnacentral:lncRNA from 1 species